AUAUGUGAAAAUAGAGCGGAACCAGUCUAAGUAGUAGUGCCGCAGGUAACAUGAUUUGGGAUUACCUGCUCCCUGCUGCUUAAUAUGGUAUCGCUUAACAUUCGUCCA
rnacentral:pre_miRNA from 10 species